CCAAACGCGGUUUUUUUCAAUAGUACAAUGGUCAACAACGUCCACAGAUCAAAAUCCGAGACCAAGAGAAGCAUCAAAAGAAAAAUCUCCACACGCGCAAAAAAUAAAUAAUAAAUCUCCACGCUCAUGGCCAUGUAAAAGCUUUGGUAGGCCAUUGAGAGAACCAGUUUGCAGGAUGUGAACAACACCCGUGACCAAACCAUGGACAAAAGACUGUCGUGGUUGUAGGAUGUGAAGAGCACCCUGCACCUGUGAGUCCAUGACCAAACCAUGGACAAAAGACUGCCAACUGCCGUGGUUGCAGGAAGUGAAGAGCACCCGUGAGCCGUGACCAUACCAUCUUCUUCUCUGAGCCGCCCACACCAAAGAAAGAGAGACAGAGCUCCCCUUCACCUCAGUUAAGAUGAGCAGCGUCAGGUUGGAAAAAUGGAGAACGGCGGUGCAGCGCAGCGCGGAGAUUUCAUCGACCACCCAAAGUUCUCAGCGGUAGAUGUGGCAACAGGUGAAGUACCCAUGGAUCCCAUAUUCUCCAGAACCAAUAGCCAGAUACCUUCAGAUCACCCGUCAAUCGACGUGGAUCUUGUUGAAGACGAGAACGAUAGCAGACCAGCGACGCAGACCAUGCCGGGAAAUGAUGGAUGGAUAAGACGGCAGAGAGCCAUGUGUUGCGUGGAGGUGGAUUUAUUCACCAUGAAUACGUAAGGAACAUUUUUGUUGGCAAUCAUAUAUCACACACGACGUCAACAGAUGUCCAAUGAUAGUAUUACCAGUGGCACACAAUCAUUCCUGGUUCACAUUAAUUUUUAACUUCCCAAGGAGAAGGACAACAAUCCUCGAUCCGAUGAUAAACAACGGAAACAGACUGGUAGAUGAAAUCCGCAAUGAGCAUAUCAAGUUAGCCGACGAGCUGCCUAGCGCACAAAUGGAUUGUAUUGCAGAAUUCUUCGAUGGAUGGGCACCAAAGACAAAAGGAUGGCAGAAUUGGUUCCCCAAACUGACAACUGGACCUUGGGUCUGCAGCAGGGCUUCUAGCGGUGUACUAGCAUUUUACUUCGCAAGGCAGUGUAUGGGUACAAAAUUACAGAGGACUCUAUCGCCUCUAGGGGAUGAAAUCGACCAAUAUCGGAUGAUGCUUCUCUAUGAAGUUCUUGGGUUAGACGGUAACAUCGGCCAGCUACCUGCUAAAUUUAAUUUAUGCCAGAAUGAACCUUGAAGAGAGGAAGCAACUGUUUGCUUUAAUAUAACAUAACACGAAAGCGAUGAUGAUAUCUAAACUACUAGAAAUAAUUCGUGCAAUCGAGGAGAUCCUAGAUGGCACACACUGUAUCUUUAUUCACCAUCAACAUUUAUGUCUUUUAUAUUUCUAGAAUAAGGAAUUGUAAUGUGCUUGUCACAUCACUAGGAGAUGAUUUUAUUUAAGACUUCCAGACCGUAUGAAGAACCAUUUAAAUUUUAUGAAAUGACUUUUGGGACCAGCCUCUACAUGAUUCUUAUAUAGUCUAAGAUUAUGCAUAACUACUGAACACUGUGUACUAAAUAACAGGAGAAACAAAACGGCAACAAGAGCAUAAAU